rnacentral:lncRNA from 1 species
ACGGUGAGAGGACCAGGAUCAUUCUCCUCUAGGGUCUUAGUUCUAACUAGUGAGGUGACCUUCGGCAAGUCAAUUUUCUGGGCCUUUGUAACAGGAGGAGCUAGCACUGGACAGUGCCUUCAUUGCUGAUGUUUUGUAAGCAUAUGCAACACUUGUAUACUUACAGGAAAGUGCCCUUGCCCAUAUAUGUUAAUAUUUGCUGGAGUGUGGUCAGGGUAAUACAAAGAAUGUUCUCACUAUUGACUUUUCACCCCCGAGUUAAUAGUUAACUUUGUCUCCUUGUUUGACUAUGCUGUCUGUUGGCUUCGGUCAGAAAGAAAAAUUCUGAAACACCUAGUGGAAUGGUGCUAACAUUUGUCUUUCUUCACCUUUACUUCAUGUGGUUUAUUUCUACUAAGGCCUCAGGGCAAUAUUCUGGAAGAAACUCAAGCAGCAUGGAAUGUUAUCUCCCCAUUCAGAAACAGUGCCUACGUUCAUACACGGAAGCAUCAUGGUGGCAUACAAUGAGAAAAGAACGGCCCUUGCAGCGGAAGACUGUUCUAGUUGCGACACCUUGGGGAGAUGCUGUAAAGAUUCUGGGCCUUGAUGUCUCCCUCCCACAUUUUAAGUAUCCCAUAGAGUUUUAUAGAUGGAAACACUUUGUACAUUUUUAAGGGAAACUAUUCUUUUUUGCCCUUUCUGUUCCUACCUGCUCCCUUUCCGCACUUGCCCCUCACACCCUUCCCCCUCAUAUUUCAUACCAGGAGCAAUAUUUUUAUUAAUUGUCAAUUCCUCCAACCACCUAUUUCUGGAUAAUGAUUCUGUUAUAAUAGAUUUAUAAAAGCUAUUAAAGACUGGGAGUGUGAGGACUGAGUUUUUCAAGAACAGAACUGUGUGCUAACUUCCCAGCCCCUAGCCCAGUGCCUGGUUGAGUGAAUGAAUGAACACAGGAAUGCAUGCCAUGACGAGUUUGCUACUUAGCAUGAAAGGCUGCUUUAUGCUAGCCAGACCAAAGACGCCAUCCGAUAAUGCGGA